CGGAAAGCGGCGGACGGGUGAGUAACGCGUGAGUAACCUGCCCCAUACACAGGGAUAGCCAUUGGAAACGAUGAUUAAUACCUGAUAAUACUACAUAGUCACAUGGCUUAGUAGUCAAAGAUUUAUCGGUAUGGGAUGGACUCGCGUCUGAUUAGCUAGUUGGUGAGGUAACGGCUCACCAAGGCGACGAUCAGUAGCCGACCUGAGAGGGUGAUCGGCCACACUGGAACUGAGACACGGUCCAGACUCC
rnacentral:rRNA from 1 species